rnacentral:rRNA from 1 species
GGAAUAUUGCACAAUGGGCGAAAGCCUGAUGCAGCAACGCCGCGUGAGGGAUGAAGGCCUUCGGGUUGUAAACCUCUUUUAGCAGGGAAGAAGCGAAAGUGACGGUACCUGCAGAAAAAGCACCGGCUAACUACGUGCCAGCAGCCGCGGUAAUACGUAGGGUGCAAGCGUUGUCCGGAAUUAUUGGGCGUAAAGAGCUCGUAGGCGGUUUGUCGCGUCUGCUGUGAAAACCUGAGGCUCAACCUCAGACCUGCAGUGGGUACGGGCAAGCUAGAGUGCGGUAGGGGAGAUGGGAAUUCCUGGUGUAGCGGUGGAAUGCGCAGAUAUCAGGAGGAACACCGAUGGCGAAGGCACAUCUCUGGGCCGUAACUGACGCUGAGGAGCGAAAGCGUGGGGAGCGAACAGGAUUAGAUACCCUGGUAGUCCACGCCGUAAACGGUGGGUGCUAGUUGUGGGUCACAUUCCACGUGAUCCGUGACGAAGUUAACACAUUAAGCACCCCGCCUGGGGAGUACGGUCGCAAGACUAAAACUCAAAGGAAUUGACGG